ACUCCUGCGGGAGGCAGCAGUGGGGAAUUUUGGACAAUGGGCGAAAGCCUGAUCCAGCAAUGCCGCGUGAGUGAAGAAGGCCUUCGGGUUGUAAAGCUCUUUUGUCAGGGAAGAAACGGUGAGAGCUAAUAUCUUUUGCUAAUGACGGUACCUGAAGAAUAAGCACCGGCUAACUACGUGCCAGCAGCCGCGGUAAUACGUAGGGUGCAAGCGUUAAUCGGAAUUACUGGGCGUAAAGCGUGCGCAGGCGGUUUUGUAAGUCUGAUGUGAAAUCCCCGGGCUCAACCUGGGAAUUGCAUUGGAGACUGCAAGGCUAGAAUCUGGCAGAGGGGGGUAGAAUUCCACGUGUAGCAGUGAAAUGCGUAGAUAUGUGGAGGAACACCGAUGGCGAAGGCAGCCCCCUGGGUCAAGAUUGACGCUCAUGCACGAAAGCGUGGGGAGCAAACAGGAUUAGAUACCCCAGUAGUCCCAUGA
rnacentral:rRNA from 1 species